rnacentral:lncRNA from 1 species
UUGGCUUAUUACAAAACAACAGGAUGCUGCAGCUUUAUCAAAGUCUACUUAUUUGUCCACUAAAAGUUUAUGGCUAUACGUUUCCAACUAGAACAUCUGAACACCAAUAUAUGGAAUUCUGACAAAGUUAAAACCAGGAAGAGAUCCUAUGAAGGCUGACAUUGAUUUGUACAUCCGUUUUAUAGAACAAGAAAAAUAAUAAGAACAGGAAUAAGAACAGCAACAACAUUUGCAGCCACUGUCUAGACCACAGGAAACCUGGUCAACAACAUAUGGGAUGUCACCAGAUUCAGACUCAGAAGUUUCCAUAAUGCCGUGGCCAACAGCUAGACACAAAACCUGAGCCUGAGAAUUUGCUUAUGGAUUGUCUGUAAUGCCAGGAAAUGGAAUAGAGGACUGGGAAGAGUGAGAGAAGGAAGAGAAGCCAGGAGGAGAGUAUGUUACGAGCUGUGAAUAAUUGGGACUUGAUUC